UAGAGUUUGAUCAUGGCUCAGAAUGAACGCUGGCGGUGUGCUUAACACAUGCAAGUCGAGCGUGAAAGGGACUUCGGUCCUGAGUAAAGCGGCAGACGGGUGAGUAACACGUGGGAAUUUACCAUUCAGUGAAGUAUACCUCCGAGAAAUCGGAGUUAAUUCUGCAUACGUCCUAAGGGAGAAAGGUGGCCUCUUGCCGCCGCUGAAUGAUAAGCCCGCGGCCUAUUAGCUAGUUGGUAGGGUAAAGGCCUACCAAGGCGAUGAUGGGUAGCCGGCCUGAGAGGGUGAUCGGCCACAUUGGAACUGAGACACGGUCCAGACUCCUACGGGAGGCAGCAGUGAGGAAUAUUGCGCAAUGGGCGAAAGCCUGACGCAGCGACACCGCGUGGAGGAUGAAGGUCUUAGGAUUGUAAACUUCUGUUAAGUGGGAAGAAAGAUCUAUAAGUAAUAUGUAUAGAAGAUGGCGGUACCACUAGAGAAAGCACUGGCUAAUCUCGUGCCAGCAGCCGCGGUAAUACGAGAGGUGCAAGCGUUAUUCGGAUUUAUUGGGCGUAAAGGGUGCGUAGGCGGUGCAUUAAGUCUGUCGUCAAAUUUCCCGGCCUAACUGGGAAUCGGCGGUGGAAACUGGUGUGCUAGAGGAUGGAAGAGAGAAGUGGAAUUCUCGGAGUAGCGGUAAAAUGCGUAGAUCUCGAGAGGAACACCGAUGGCGAAGGCAGCUUCUUGGUCCAUAUCUGACGCUAAAGCACGAAAGCGUGGGGAGCAAACAGGAUUAGAUACCCUGGUAGUCCACGCUGUAAACGAUGAUCACUGGAUGUUGGAACUGCUUGCAGAUUCAGUAUCGAAGCUAACGCGUUAAGUGAUCCGCCUGGGGAGUACGGUCGCAAGAUUAAAACUCAAAGGAAUUGACGGGGGUCCGCACAGCGG
rnacentral:rRNA from 1 species